UGGAGCAUGGUAACAGGUUUGAUUCUGGCUCGGGUGUGAACGCUGGCGGGAUGCUUUACACAUGCAAGUCGCGCCGUUAUGGUUCAGUCUGGUGGCGAGAGUGGCGAACGGGUGAGUAAUGUAUCGGAACGUGCCUAGUAGCGGGGGAUAACUACGCGAAAGCGUAGCCAAUACCGCAUACGCCCUUCGGGGGAAAGCGGGGACCUUCGGGCCUCGCACUAUUAGAGCGGCCGAUAUCGGAUUAUUUCAGUUGGUGGAGUAACGAACUCUGCAGGCGACGAUCCGUGGCUGGUUUGAGAGGACGACCAGCACCUGGGCUGAGACACGGCCCAGACUCCUACAGGAGGCAGCAGUGGAAUUUUGGACAAUGGGGAAACCCUGAUCCAGCCAUCCCGCGUGUGCGAUGAAGGCCUUCAAGGUUGUGUUAGCAGGAAGAACUCGCUGAAGAUGAAUACGUGCAACUGACGGAUACCUGCAGAAUAAGCACCGGCUAACUACGUGCCAGCAGCCGCGGUAAUACGUAAGUGCAAGCGUUAAUCGGAAUUACUGGGCGUAAAGCGUGCGCAGGCGGACGGAAAAGAAAGAUGUGAAAUCCCAGGCUUAACUGAACUGCAUUUUUAACUACCGAGCUAGAGUGUGUCGGGAGGUGGGUAUUUAUGUGGGUAAAUACCGUGGAAUAUGCGGAGGAACACCGAUGGCAAUGAUAUCAGAUCACUGACGCUCAUGCACAGCGGUAGAACAAGUGGAUUGGACACCUGGUAGUCCACGCCCUAAACAGAUAUCGUGGCUAUUUGGGGCCUUCGGGCCUUGGUAGCGCAAUAACAGCGUGAAGUUGACCGCCUGGGAAUCACGGUCGCAAGAUUAAAACUCAAAGAUUGACCAGGACCCGCACAAGCGGUGGAUGAUGUGGAUUAAUUCGAUGCAGCGCGAAAACCUUACCUACCUUGACAUGUCUGGAAUCCCGAAGAGAUUUGCGAUGCUCGUGGACAGGUGCGGGUGCUGCAUGGUGCUGUCGUCGGCUCGUGUCGUGGAUAUCAAUUUGGGUUAAGUCCGCAACGGACGCAACCCUUGUCAUUAGUUGCUACGAAAAGGGCACUCUAAUGAGACUGCCAUUGUUGAUGACAAACCGGAGAGAUUGGGGAUGACGUCAAGUCCUCAUGGCCCUUAUGGGUAGGGUGUAUACAAUGGUCGGGACGGAGGUCAUGUCCCGCGGGGAGCCGUCCGGACCCGAUCGUAGUCCGGAUCGCAGUCUGCAACUCGACUGCGUGAAGUCGGAAUCGUUCGUAAUGGUGAAUCGUAUGUCGCGGUGAAUACGUUCCCGGGUCUUGUUUGAUGCGAUGUUACCAUCAGGAGUGGGUUUUACCAGAAAUGAUUAGCCUAACCGUAAGAGGCGAUUACCACGGUAGGAUUCAUGACUGGGGUGAAGUCGUAACAAGAGUAG
rnacentral:rRNA from 1 species